rnacentral:rRNA from 1 species
GAUGAACGCUAGCGGCAGGCUUAACACAUGCAAGUCGAGGGGCAGCGCGAUGUAGCAAUACAUUGGCGGCGACCGGCGCACGGGUGCGUAACACGUAUGGAACUUACCCUUUACUGGGAGAUAGCCCGGAGAAAUCCGGAUUAAUAUCCCAUAAUAUACGAAGUGGCAUCACUUUGUUUUGAAAGCUCCGGCGGUAAAGGAUGGCCAUGCGCACGAUUAGCUAGUAGGUGAGGUAACGGCUCACCUAGGCUACGAUCGUUAGGGGGCCUGAGAGGGUUAUCCCCCACACUGGUACUGAGACACGGACCAGACUCCUACGGGAGGCAGCAGUGAGGAAUAUUGCGCAAUGGAGGCAACUCUGACGCAGCCAUGCCGCGUGCAGGAAGAAGGCGCUACGCGUCGUAAACUGCUUUUACCAGGGAAGAAACCCCCAGACGUGUCUGGGGUUGACGGUACCUGAGGAAUAAGCACCGGCUAACUUCGUGCCAGCAG